GGUUCGGUGGUGUAGUGGUUAUCACGUCUGUCUCACAUGGUUUGCGAAUUAUUCUUGUGUGCACAGGAGGUCCCCGGUUCGAGACCGGGUCGAACCA